AGCGAACGCUGGCGGCAGGCUUAACACAUGCAAGUCGAGCGGGCACCUUCGGGUGUCAGCGGCAGACGGGUGAGUAACACGUGGGAACGUACCCUUCGGUUCGGAAUAACGCUGGGAAACUAGCGCUAAUACCGGAUACGCCCUUAUGGGGAAAGGUUUACUGCCGAAGGAUCGGCCCGCGUCUGAUUAGCUAGUUGGUGGGGUAACGGCCUACCAAGGCGACGAUCAGUAGCUGGUCUGAGAGGAUGAUCAGCCACACUGGGACUGAGACACGGCCCAGACUCCUACGGGAGGCAGCAGUGGGGAAUAUUGGACAAUGGGCGCAAGCCUGAUCCAGCCAUGCCGCGUGAGUGAUGAAGGCCUUAGUGUUGUAAAGCUCUUUUGUCCGGGACGAUAAUGACGGUACCGGAAGAAUAAGCCCCGGCUAACUUCGUG
rnacentral:rRNA from 1 species